GUGAGUAGUUCUAGAGUUUGAUCCUGGCUCAGGAUGAACGCUGGCGGCGUGCUAACACAUGCAAGUUGAGCGAUCUUCUUCGGAAGAGAGCGGCGGACGGGUGAGUAACGCGUGGGUAACCUGCCCUGUACACACGGAUAACAUACCGAAAGGUAUGCUAAUACGGGAUAAUAUGUUUUGGAUGCAUGUUCGAAACAUCAAAGCUCCGGCGGUACAGGAUGGACCCGCGUCUGAUUAGCUAGUUGGUGAGGUAAUGGCUCACCAAGGCGACGAUCAGUAGCCGACCUGAGAGGGUGAUCGGCCACAUUGGAACUGAGACACGGUCCAA
rnacentral:rRNA from 1 species